CCUAUAACCGCACCCCGCGCGCACCCCACCCACCCCACGUCUCGCUCUCCCCACCCCACCUCCCGCUACAACGCCGGUGGGGGGGCCUGCGGCUGCCGGCGACCGGGCGCCGCCGCCGCCGUUAUCAUCUCGCCGCCCCCGCAUUCUCGGACUGGCAUUUGCCAUAAUUUAGUGGAGGCAAUUUUCGUUGCAGCUGUUUCCGGGGUGGUGGAUUGAGGGAAUAAAGAAUGAUCAACCUCUUUGAUUUGAGCGUUGGAGCCAGCGCCAAGGUCGCCUCAAGAGAUGGCUCUCCGGUGAGAGGAACUCGAUCAGAACGGAUGGAGUACGCUGGAUCAAAGACAGUGACUGGCUACACAAGGAGGAGCUCGUCGGAUAGAUCAGGUGGUAUGCCAAUGAAAAUGCUGAUAGCUCAGGAAAUGGCUAAGGAGGGUGACACAAGUCAGAAGACAGCUAAUGUUGUGGCAAAGCUGAUGGGGCUUGAUGAUAAUAUGGAUCUUCCUAAGCAUCCACCUUCUAACAGGAGUUUUCCCGAUGGCCAUUUAUCUGCUACAUUGGCAAGAGUUAACAACCAAAUGUCAUAUGAGAAGCGUGCAAGUUCAAUUGAAGAUGUGGAGUACAAGGAUGUCUAUGAAGUUGGCUACCAGCCGCCAAGAGGUGAAUGUCUGAGCAGUGAAUCUCCAAGGAGGCCAUAUGAAGAUCAUGACAAGCAAAGGAUGGAUCUUGUCCGGCAGAAAUUUAUUGAAGCAAAGCAGCUAGCAUCACAUGAUAAUAUCCUCCAGUCAAAGGAAUUUCAUGAUGCUCUUGAAGUCCUGAAUUCAAACAAAGAUUUGUUUCUCAAAUUUCUUGAAGAACCUAACUCGCUCUUUGCAAAGCAAUCUGGAGAACUUCAUUCUGCACCAACAUCACCUCAGAGAAAACGCAUUACUGUGUUGAAGCCUUCGAAAUCAGUGGACAGAAAGGGUGACAAAGCAAUUAAAAGGCAAAAAAAACAUGCAGUUGACGGGAAUAGAGCAGAAAGGAGCAAAAAUCACAAGUCUGAUGCUGCUCAUUUGAAAGUUGAAAGGCUUCCGAAACACACCCGGAUAGUGGUGUUGAAACCUACCUCAACGAUUGCUUCUAUGGAGCAAUUUGAGCAAUAUUAUCAUGCCGAUCUGGAUGAUUCUGAAGCACCUGCUGUAUCAAGGCGUUUGAGUGAUGAGAUAGAUUGGUCGAUACACGGAAUGCAUCGACGCCACUAUGAAUCUUUGCAGGGUUGCAUACAGUCUGAUACUAUUAGCACAGGUAGACCAUAUGAUCACCAUGCUGAAGAAGGGGGCACUAGCUUAUGUGACUCAAAUAUUGGAACUCCAACAUCACAUCAUACUUGGGAUUACAUCUACCGGUUUAGCAAUCCUUACUUUGGCUCGUCUUUGAGCCAUGCUUCUUGUUCCCCUGAGCCACAUGCGACUAGGGAGGCUAAGAAAUAUACUUCUGACAGAUGGGAAAUUGUUCCAUCCAGUGAGAUAACCCAGGAAAAGGUGGCAGUGCGAAGAAGUUUGAGCACACUUGGUGAAAUGCUUGCUAUGCCUGAUAUGAAGAAAGAAGAGGUUGCUGAUCAAGCAUCUCCGGAUGCUACGAAACAGUUGUGCAGCAAUGAGCCAACAGUUGGUGUAUCAUCUAAUUGUGUUGUUGAUGUUGGUGAGGGAGGAAGAUCCCUAAGGAAGAUCUCAAGGUCAAGAUCUGUUCCAGUCUCUUCAUUAGCUUUUGACAGCCUAAGGUUAGAUGGUGGAUGUUCAGUUUCUCAACAUAAAGAAUCUACAGUGACAAAGGAGGUCAAACCUAAGAAUGGGAAGUCAUCUCUGAAGGGAAAGAUAUCGAGUUUCUUCUCAAAACGUAAGAAAGCAGAAAAAGAGAAGGUUAGCCCAUCUCCUGUAGGAACCCCGAAUAAUCAAGUUUUGUCGGCCAGUACUGCAGAAAUUGGUAAAUCAGAUGUUCCAGAACAUGUUUGUACUAGCUUACAAGAUGGGGUUGCUUUGGGCUAUUUGGAAGAGCGGUUCGAGAAUGAACUAACUGUAGUUCCGGUUCAUGAACUUAAAGCACCCUCUACUUCUAAGUCUCCAGUUUCCCUUGAAAAGGCACUGUCAUUUGAGAUUCACAAUUCCCACUUCGACCAGCCUAGCCCUACAUCAGUUCUUGAUGCUCAAUUUGAGGAUGUCAAUGAGAAAUCCCCCAUUUCAUCAGAGAGCGCAAUUACUGUUAAACAAGAACCUCUAUCCAGGUCGCUUCCAAUUGGAUCAAUUGCAAGGACCUUAUCAUGGGAUGAUGCUUCUCAAGAAGCUCCGUUGUGCUGUGCCCAAGAUGAUAGCCAUGAGCAAGAACAAUAUGAAUUUGUCGAGAAGAUUCUAACGUCUGCUGGGUUCUGUAAUGAGAAGGCCAAAGACAUCUUUGUUCGGUGGCAUUCACUUGACUGCCCUUUGGACCCAGUUGUGUUUGACCAACUGUUGGAACGCAAAGUAGAAGAUGCCAAGUGCAGAGAGAGACGGUCAAACCAGAGGCUCCUCAUUGAUUCUGUCAAUGUUGCCCUACUAGACAUUGGUCAAAGUAAACUUUGGGGUGCAUACCCUUGCACUGCACGGUAUUCCAAUGCACCUAGAGUUGCUACAUGUGAUGUGCUAGUAAUCGAUGAAGCGUGGAGGUUAAUAAGAAGUUGGCUCCUCGAUGAUGAGAACGAUAUUGCCGGUUUGGGAGACCAUGCAGGCCUUGCAGCGGAUUGGGUUGUCUGUAAGGAGAUUCAUGGCAAAGGGUGGUCCGAAAUGCUGAGGUUGGAGGUGGAUGAAAUCAGCAAGGAGAUAUGCGGGGAUGUCCUGAACAAGUUGGUUGAGGAGGCAUUUUCAGAGCUUGCUGAUGCUGGGUGCCAUUGAAGCUGCUUUAUUUUCCGUGCUAGUGGUGUCCACCUGUUGCUUUUAUUUCCAAUAUGGUGAAGACCGUCCCCUGAGGCUGAUCUGCACUACCCAAAGCUGUCUCGUGUGUAUAUUGCCCUCAUAACUGUUAUGUGACAAAAGAUAGACAUCUGUAAAGCUGGAGGCCUCAAGUGUUGUGCUGUGCAGCAUUUUAGUGCUAAUUGCAGGCUCCUAGGGGAUAAUUACCUCAGUCUAUCACUUCCAAGCAAGUAUGAUUAGAGGUCAUGUGCCUCCUUUGAAAGCCUACAGCGGUCCAACCAAUGCACCACCUUUCAGUGCAUUUCUUUACUGACCCUCCUGUCCUCUUCUGCCUUUGAUCACUUUGUUAAUCCAACUUGCAGCAAGGUUACAAGCUGCAAGUUCUUGAGGAGGAGAAUUAAAAAGGGCAUGCUGGCAGCAAAAUCCAUUGACAUUCUGGGGAAUAACAUCCUUUUUGCUGCUCGGCGCUAUUGCUUGUCGUGGUCCGGCGAUGCGCAAGUGUUGUGAUCUGUCAGGCGCUGGUCGCUGGGCCUCGCGGUCCAUGAAAGAUGCAGGACUUCUCCCAGUUCUCUGUUGUACAUGUUGUGUUGUUGGUCAACUUUCUGAAUCUUUUUAGUUGCUGCAACUAACCAUGCCGUGCUAUAACAAUUAUUUACCUAUGCGCUGGAUAAGUUCUCUGUCCCUUCCAGGCAGAAUAGUUGUAGAGACUACGGUGGUUACCUUGCGUGGUGGCUUGAUCACUUGAUGACGGCGGUUAACAGGCUCACGGUUAGCUUCAACUUUCACCUGCUCAUUUUGAGGCUUACCUGAAUGUUGUUUUCGAUAAGACAAUAGCAACGUUCCUUGUCUGUCCAGACAGUGUUGUUUGGUUCUUGGUGAUUAAACUACUAGGGACCCUGUCAUAGUUUUUACUCUGCAGUUGUAACUGGAUUGGCUAGUUCUAUAUAACUCCUCAGGUUAUGGGCUC